rnacentral:rRNA from 1 species
ACACAGGUGGUCAGGUAGAGAAUACCAAGGCGCUUGAGAGAACUCGGGUGAAGGAACUAGGCAAAAUGGUGCCGUAACUUCGGGAGAAGGCACGCUGACACGUAGGUGAAGUGAUUUACUCACGGAGCUGAAGUCAGUCGAAGAUACCAGCUGGCUGCAACUGUUUAUUAAAAACACAGCACUGUGCAAACACGAAAGUGG